GCGAAGGUGGCGGAAUUGUUAGACGCGCUAGCUUCAGGUGUUAGUGUUCUUACGGACGUGGGGGUUCAAGUCCCCCCCCUCGCACCA
rnacentral:tRNA from 1 species